rnacentral:rRNA from 1 species
AACGAACGCUGGCGGCGUGCUUAACACAUAGCAAGUCGAACGGCGAAAGGGAACUUCGGUCCUGAGUAAAGUGGCGCACGGUGAGUAACGCGUAGAUAACCUGUCUUCAUGUCUGGAAUAAUACGCCGAAAGGGGUACUAAUACCGGAUAUUCUUGCUUUUCAUAAGUUAUGCAAGCAAAGGUGGCCUCUGCAUAUGCUACUGCAUGAAGAGGGGUCUGCGUACCAUUAGCUAGUAGGUGGGGUAAUGGCCUACCUAGGCGACGAUGGUUAGCGGGUCUGAGAGGAUGAUCCGCCACACUGGCACUGGAACACGGGCCAGACUCCUACGGGAGGCAGCAGUGAGGAAUAUUGCGCAAUGGGGGAAACCCUGACGCAGCGACGCCGCGUGAGUGAGGGAAAGGCCUUCGGGUCGUAAAGCUCUGUCAAGAGGAAAGAAGUGUACAAUGGCUAAUACCUGUUGUAUUUGACGGUACCUCUAAAGGAAGCACCGGCUAACUCCGUGCCAGCAGCUGC